AGAUCUUACCUUAGUGACCCAAAAUAGGGGUUAAUGAACAGAGAUAACGGGUUGGCUCUCUCCUUGUGUUUCUCUACAGUUGAUAUACUCCCCAGAGAAUGUCUCCACCUUGCUGCAUUCAUGCACCUCCAAUUGUUUUAAUAAUGGCCAAUCUGUAGUAUGCACCUUGGAGUAGAAACCCUUCAAUUUGGGUAGCUUACGAAGUAUCAGCUGUCUUAUUUUAGGAAACAUAAACUUUGUGGUUGAUUUGAGCUCAAUCGAUUCAUUUGAGUUGUGUCCGAUUAUUUCUUCUACCGACUCACAUUCCGAUAUUUCCAGAAUAUUUAGUUUUUCAAGUCUUUCCACCAUAUCAUAUGGUAAAACUCUCAAAAGUUUGUCACAGUGUUCCACCAAAAGCAAGGUUAAUUCAUGAAAUGAAUCCAUAGUGAGUUUAUCUUGCCAUAUCUUUCUACACUUUCCCACGCCUACAAUUCUCAAAUCGUCCAAGCUAGGAAACGCGACCUGCGGGAAUUAUUUACGUUGUUAAUGAGGAAAAUAAGUUAGAAUUCUACUUAGAUAUGAAAAGUAAAUUUACUACAAGAAAACAAAAGAAGAAUAUCACCUUUUGGUUGAAAAGUGUAUUGGUCUCCGAGUUUUCUUGAUGGCAGAAUGUCCUUAGUUUUGGAAGCCUAUUGAGCUCCAGUUUUUGUAGCUUACUGAACAAGUAAGUCUGAGGUAUCCCUUCUUCUGCUACGGUUGCUAAUCCAUCUGUAAAGAUUAUUUCUUCCAGGUUCUCGCAAUCAAGAAGGCUAAGUUGACGGAGCCCCUCAAAAGUUCUGACUAAAAAGGAUGGGAAUAGAUAUUCCAAAUUAUGGCAACGACUUUUUUUCUAUUUUUAAUUAAUUGUUGGAUAACUUAUAUCUUUAAGCCAGAUUCUAAUUAUGUUAAAUCGUAACCAUUUAGAAGCUAAAUUUUGAUUUUAUCAAAUCGUAACCGUUUAAAAAUAUUGUUUCUUCAAUGUCUUUGCAUUACCAACAAAUUUCUCUAAACAUGAGAAUCCAAAAGCAUGGUUGCAUGAACAAAAGCUCUUGAUGAUGAGAAUGAUUCAAAUGAAUGAACAUCUCAAGAAUAAAUGCUCUCAUCUAUGUUGAAUAGAAUGAAUAGUGCAAUCCUCUUACAUCAACUAUUUAUCGACUGUGAUUAAAUGCACAAGAUGAAAGUGGGAUGGAAUUUGAUUAGGAUUAAAUAUUUAUUCAGAGAUGAUAUUUUUAAGGAUUUUAAAUUCUAUUUUUUAGAAUUUAAAUUAUUGUGUAAAAAUUGAACCAAUUUGCUUUUAUUGUACCAUGCUUUUAGCUAUUGUGAAUGCAUUAAAUUUAUGAAUCCAUGGCAUUUUGAUACUUCUAGAAUUGUCAAAUGUUUGAAUGACACAAAAGAUGGCACUAAAUUCUUUAAUUUUCCGCAUCCCACCACUUCUAGAAAACUUCUGCAAGUGAUAGUUUGUUUUUCUAGAGAUGUGUCAACUCAGGAAGAUAAUACAAACUUAAUUCCUUCAAGAAAGCAAGCGUUCCUGUAUUUUCAUUUUCAUCUCUUACUCCUUUACAUGGAAAUAAUUCAUUGAAGGGAGCCCUUUGCCAAAAGAAAGGUAUUCAAGAUUUGUUAAUGACUAAAUGAAACAAUCUGAGAUAGUAACUCAUGUUUCGGGACAAUAUAACUCUCUUAGUUUGGGACAAUAUUGCUUGAGGUCUGCUCCAUGUCCAUGCCAUACCUUCAUAUUGCCAUUCCCAUCCAAAACCAAUUCUUCUAAAUUGGGGAAUGUUUCCUGAGAAAUUAAGAAACAUAUAUACAUUAAAUAAAAGCAAAUCUUCUAAAGUGAAUGAUAAAAUAUGCAAAUCUGUUUAGAUUGACCUUUUAUUUAGUUUCUUUUAUGAGAUCUUACCUUAGUAACCCAAAAUAGGGGUUGUGGAACAGAGAUAAUGGGUUGGCUCUCUCCUUGUGUUUCUCUUAAGUUGAUAUACCCCCCAGCAAAUGUCUCCACCUUGCUGCAUUCUCUCACCUCCAAUAAUUUUAACAAUGGCCAAUCUGUAGUAUGCACCUUGGAGUAGAAACCCUUCAAUUUCGGUAGCUUAUAAAGUACCAGGUUUCUUAUUUUAGGAAACACAAACUUGGUGGUUGAUUUGAGCUCAAUCGUUUCAUUUGAGCUGAGUCCAUGAUCAUCAGCAAGUCCAAUUAUUUCUUCUACCGACUCGCAUUCCAAUAUUUGCAGAGUUUCUAGUUUUUCAAGUCUUUCCACCAUAUUAAAUGGGAAAACAUUCGAAAGUUUGUCACAGUGUUCCACCAAUAGCAAGGUUAAUUCAUGAAAUGAAUCCAUAGUGAGUUUAUC
rnacentral:lncRNA from 1 species